rnacentral:lncRNA from 1 species
AUUAUCUUCAGACAUCAGUGUGGUUUGAUUUCUGUGCAGAUGAGAUAGUUUACUAAGCAAGAAGUCUAACGUCAUUCAUACCAGAAGAUUUUUCAGCCUUGUCCUGAUGCUUUGCUGUCACAGAUGUUGUUGAUACCCAUGCACAUGCCAUCUGUACUCACCAUGCUGUAUACAGUCGUCCCCCCCUGCUUGUCUGGGAGGGGAUACAUUCCAAGAACCCCAGUGGAUGCCUGAAGCUGCAGAUAGCACCGAACCCUGUAUACACUAUGUUUUUCCUAUACAUAUACAGUUAUGAUAAAGUUUAAAUCAUAAAUUCGGCACAUAAGAGAUUAACAACAUUAACUAAUAAUAAAAAUAGGACAAUUAUAACAAUAUACUGUAAUGAAAGUUAUGUGAAUGUGCUCACUCUCUCUUCUUCUUCUUUUGAUGAUAAUAAAAGUCCUACAUGAUGAGAUGAAGUAAAGUGAACAACAUGGGCAUUGUGAUGUUGUGUUAAGCUACUGCUGACCUUCCGACAAUGUGUCUGCUUCCAGACAUCUGCUUCCAGACUGCAAAUGAUAGCAGGUCACUGGAUUCAAAGAACAAGAAAUGAACUCUAGAAGAUCAAAAGGCAGUACCAAUUUGAGAAGGAAAAAAAAUUGCAGAGCUAAAGAAAAAGCCAGAGGCUGUUCUUCCAGAGAGAUGGAAAUAAGAGGAAUAAAAUUAAAGAGAAAGUUUCUUCCCAUGGCAUGUUCCCAACAAUUUUGGACACUUUUGCAACUUGAACAUGGGUUUGAACAUGUUAAACAUGAAAAAAAAUAUUGAUGGGAGGAAAAAAGAGUAAGAGGAGAAUAGUACUUACUCUGGCAUAAGAGUAGAAUGACUUUACUGUGUAAAUAUGUAAAGUUUUCUUCCUCAUCUUCAAAAGUGUUUCAAAGCAACGUAAAACAAUUUGUAGACUGUGAAAUUCAUAUUAUUUACAACUUCUACCCACAGGACAAAUAAGAGUUGAUUUUUCACUAUUGAAGUGAAAUUAGCCCCAAAUUUUAUAUUGUAUGAGAAAAUUAGUUGUAUAAUACUUUGCAAAACUGAAGUCAAACCUUCAAUGUUACCAGAACAAUCAUCGUUUCUAGGUAGCUGCUACUGUUAUGGAACAUUAAAUGACUUUCAACUCAUGAGUCCUUGUGGAGCUAAAAUAUCCCAUGGCAAACAUACUGAACAUUAAAAUAAAACAGGAUCAAUACUCUUGAGUAAAAUUCA